rnacentral:rRNA from 1 species
UACGGAGGGUGCGAGCGUUGUCCGGAAUCACUGGGCGUAAAGGGCGCGUAGGCGGCCUGAUAAGUAGGGGGUGAAAUCCUGCGGCUUAACCGCAGGGCUGCCUUCUAAACUGUCAGGCUGGAGCACAGUAGAGGCAGGUGGGAUUCCCGGUGUAGCGGUGGAAUGCGUAGAGAUCGGGAAGAACAUCAGUGGCGAAGGCGGCCUGCUGGGCUGUUGCUGACGCUGAGGCGCGACAGCGUGGGGAGCAAACAGG